rnacentral:rRNA from 1 species
AUGCCUCCGACAGUCAAAAGUAAUAAUGCACAGUUGCAUUCUAUUUCAGACCUCAUUGAUACUGCUAAUUGGUCGUGGAAAUCGGAUGUGAUCCGUCAAAACUUCAUCACUCCUGACGCAGAUGCUAUUCUUAACAUCCCUCUGAGGCGAGGUGGGGGCGAUGAUGUGCUUGUGUGGGCUCUUGAAAUAUCGGGCUGCUAUACUAUAAAAUCAGCAUAUCAUGCUCUAAUGACUCAUAACGAGCAUCUUGCUCUAGAGGAAGGGACGACCAUCGAAGCUUCAUCGACAAACAAAUAGUUAUGGUCCCGAUUAUGAAAGCUCAAGGUUUUGCCAAGGGUGAGAGUGUUUUGGUGGCGGGUCUUGCAUUCUUCCGGUUGA